AACACUAGAAUUUUACCGAGUAUUGCUCCAGAAGUAAGUUUUUUCAUUCCUGUGAGUGCUCUGAGGCAUCAUUUGGGUAUUGCUCCAGAAGUACACCCAAGCUUCCCUACUUCACUUGCAUGGGAGUUAACCCUUAAGGAGAAGGUCCGCUGUGGAUUAAAAUUGCAUCUAUGGUCAUGAAUAAUUUCUAUGUUGUAUAUAGUAGUACCAUUGUUAUUAUAUGAAAAUUUCAAGCUGAUCAGAUGAAAUGAAAAAUUAAAGAACAGUAUUUUUCCUUGUUUUUAUGAAAAAUUUGAAUUAAUUUUUCUCAGCCAUUUUUUUACCGACUUUCUUGUGACACACACAUCUGAUAAUUCAUUGUUAUUCUAACAAUUUGUCAAGAUGUUUUUUUGAAAACUUUUUGUCAAUCCAAAAAUGUUUAUUUUUAAAAUUGUUUUUGGAAAAUUUUCCCAUAUAUCGAAACUAUGCCGCUUUUCAAAAAAACAUCUAGACAAAUUUUACUACGAUAUAUGAUCUUGUAUGUCCUAAAGUUUCAUGAAAAUCGUCUUGAAAGUAAAACCAAAAAAUAAUUUUAUGUCUAUUUUGUACUAGUUUUGAGAAAAACGCGAUUAAAGGUUUGCUAAAGUUCUUCGGCCCAGUGAAGGUACUAUACUGUCAAUGCUACUUUAAUAUGAAUUUUAUGGGAUCAGUAACCACAUAUCAGUGAGUGCAUAAAAGGAUCAGGCACCUUGUCCCCCCUUAUUGCAGUUUUAAUCGCUCAAAGUUGAGGGUGUCAGGGCGCGUCACGCCCCUCAAUGAUGUAAGGUUCGAUCACUACUCUGCAGGUGCAUAGCUAUCGGUUGGAAUUCCUUUGUCUGUCUUCCUCUUCUUCUUUAUUGUCUUCAUCGGUGUAAUUCUUCUCUUUUCUCUCAUUUCUUAUCUUUUUUCUAUGUAUUCAUUUGCUCCAAACAUUUUUGUGAGCAGGUUGCACUUUUCAUAUUCAUAUUUUUUUUACGUGCCAUCCUACAGCGCUGGUAGGCUUUCUUGAGUGGCCUGGAUGGUAGUUGGCCCCAGCUCGUCAUGGCGCAGGCAGGUGUUUUAUAGUGACGCCAUCUUUUCUUGGCUCAUGCUCCCUGGAGCUCGUUCUUGAUUCACUUGGACGGUUUCCUCUAGAGUCCAGGUUGAUGGGUGGUCUUCAGGACAGCAUGUGGGUAGUUUCAAGCCACUCAGCGGUGACUGAAAAAUCCCAGGUGGUAGUGGCGGAUUCGAACCCGCGUCGUCCGUCAUGCAGUGAACGCGGGGCCUGCACUUUUAACCACUCAGCCACCGCCUACCAAAUUGUGUUCCAAAACUGUUACAUGGAUUACAAACUCCACCCAGAAGAUUGCUGCAUGUUUGAUUUUUCAACAUUUAUUCCAUACUUUGGCAUACCAGCUGAUGCACUGCACUGAGCAUGCCACGCCAGUGCAGUAGCCAUUUAAAUAUCCUUGUUAUUGGCAUUUAAAUUUAUGUCUGACUGAAAAAAAUCUACCAUUUGAAAGUCAAAGGAUAGGGUGUUGCCAUAGACCAUAUAACUCAUUUUCGUAUUUUUCGAAAAUUAUUUUCAUAUUUUCAUGGAGGACUCUUCCCUUAAAGCACGGCUCUGUCGGAGAAGGGUGGGGUGCUGGGACUCCCGUCAUCAGUUGUCCCGCCAAGAUUUGUUCCUCCCAACAUCACAUCUCCGCCGUGCUGCAGUCGAGGGACUCAUACAUAGUUUCUUUCAUCAUGUAGGUGAAAGAUUGGCGGUGUUAAGGCACCAUCAACUAUUGUGUUCUUGUCUGCAAUUGCCACACAGGGCUUUGCUGAAGAACACCUAUUUCACCAAAGUUUGGCAACACGGCACACGCUCUGCCAACAGAAAAUCUCCCUCUAGCCCGUCUUUUAGGGGCUGAGACUCACAUCAGCAGUCACUUCCAGUUAUUAGGGACACACCAUUACCAGCUGUUCUCUCCUCCCUAGCAGUAGGCUGUUGGCAGAAUAUUGUAAAAAAUUAAACAUAACAAAUCUAACCCAAACUAAUCAGUAAAACUCCAGAAUAAUACCCGGCCCACUACAAAGGACGCCUUUUUGCGGUAUUUAUGUCCUUUAUUACUGCUUGCCAUUUUUUUUUCUUUGGUUUUAUUGUUUUUUGGUUUGUUUGAGCGUUUUGAUCCAUCGUUUGUUGUGCAGACGAAUAAUAGCCAUAGUAAGACAACGUUAAUCUUGGCCCUUGACUCUACGGCCACCGUGUCGUGUGCAGGCCGCUCUGGCCUGAAUGUAGCCAGCUUAGGUCAGGUUAGGCUGGAUGUCAUUUAGUGAGGUCAGGUUACGCUGGAUUUAGUUUGGUUAGGUCAGAGUAGGUUAGAUUUAGAUUGGUUAGAUCAGAUAUCGUCAGGCUAGGUUAGAUUUAGUGUAUUUAGGUCAGGUUAAGUUAGAUUCAGUUUGGUUAGGUUUGGUUAGGUCAGGUUAGGUUAGAGUUAGUUUGGCUAGGUCAGCUCAGGUUAGAUUUAGUUUGGUUAGGUUAGGUUACACUAGAUUUAAUUUGGUUAGGUCAGGUUACACUAGACUUAGUUUGGUCAGGUCAGGUUAGGUUAGAUUUAAUUUGGUUAGGUCAGGUUACACUAGAUUUAGUUGGUUUGGUUAGGUUUAGGCUAGCCUUAGUUUGGUUAGGUCAGGUUAUGUUAGGUUAGAUUAAGUCUCGUUAGUUUUGUUACGUUUGGUGUUUUCCGGUAAAUACGUGUGAUAGGCUUCACGCUGUGCUGCUGUUGUCACUGGCAGCGGUGGCGGCGGCGGUGAGCCAGAGGGUCACGCCGCCUGCAGCUGCACGGGCUCCCACACACAAUUUCAUGGCUUUUUUCACAGUUGCUUUUUCUUUCUCUUCACUCUUUCCUGUGGUUUUCCAGGAGGUUUAAAGUUAAGUAGAAAAUAUGUAUGACAGCAGAUUAAGUAGGAUUUGAGAUAUUGGCACGUGAAUAAUGCCAAUCUUGACCCCAUUGUCACAGCCAUGUUACGGUUGUUACUCACAUGCACAACGCCUCAAAACACUCUCCUUAACUUAAAAAAAAUAUCAAAUAGAAGAAAACUCUGGAAACAGGAAACUGCAGCAAAGGAAGUGUUUUCCCUUGCUGCAUAUUAAGGCCUUUGGGCACUCAACACACAGCCGUGUUGCUUGCCGUCUGAACCACUCGUGUGUGAGGCAGUGAUUUCUCAGCAUAGUGCCCGGGAGGAUGUGUCAAGGGAUGUGCUUCCAUUUAUUGCAUUCUGGCAGCGGGGCACAAGCCAGGUCAGGUCAGGUCAAGUCAGGUUUAGUUGAGAGGAGGCGGUGGCUUGCACUCAGGAGAGUACAUUCAUGUUAAUUGAAUUCAUCUCAAUAUUUCCAUGUUACAUUAACUCCAAUGAAUGUCAGGCUCUGCAAGAUUGGGCAUAAUUGCCGGCGCAGUGUUAAAGAAAAAUGGUGCAGGGGUGGAAGCAGGUGUGGAGUGUUUUCUCACAAAGGAAGGGGAGCCAGUAGUUGGGGGGCUGCAGGUGUGGAGUGUUUUCUCACAAAGGAAAGGGAGGCAGUAGUUGGGGGGCUGCAGGUGUGGAGUGUUUUCUCACACAGGAAA